rnacentral:lncRNA from 1 species
UGGUGUUUAGAGUAUUACCUUUUUUCUUAUGUGAGCAGCUAACUUUAUUGUGUUCUGUAUAUGUGUACUGUUCCUCAUCUGGUUUUAUGUUUCGCCGCCUUCCUCUCCCUCUCCCUCUCCCUCUCCUUCCUGCUUCCUUUCCGCUUCUUUUUGAUCAAUGUCAUGGGCUUAUUGAGGAGAAGAUGGACGGCGGAGGACACUUAUUUUGUUCUUGGUUUAAUCAUCAAUGGGAUAUUCACAACACAACCUGAAGAGUAGGACAGCUGUAAAAUAGAUUUAAACAAUGAUGUCAUUAUUAAGAACACUGUUGCAUUUACUGCAUGAAUGUUUAAAUGGGAGAAUGAGUUUACUUAUUUGAGAUGAGCAGGAUUGAAAGGAUUUGAGAACACUAUCAUCUAUAGACUUAAUGGUAUGAUUUGUUUUAACCAAUUUCAUUAUCAAUAAUUUUCAUCUUCUCAUCAGGACCAAAAAAGCUGGAGAAAUACAGACUUACCCCUGAUUCAAAUCUGGUUUUACUUUCCUGUUGGGUAGAAAUCUGUCAACUUUCUUUUUUUGUCUUCAAAGAAAUUCACAGCAGGUCAUGUCAGCGAAUGCCUGAAUGGUACAUAAACUUGCAUGUGCCGUAGAAAUACAAACAAAAUACUGUAGUGCCGGCCACUGCACAAUCCUUCCUGCUUUAAUUUGUGAAUUGCCACUUCAUUGCUGAAAUAGUUGAUCCGAUUUUCAUUCUCUUACCAAAAAUGCAG